UUCCAUGUGCUUGUGGAUGAAUUUGCUGGUGAUUUUUGAUGUUUUAUUGAAUACAUGUUGAUGCAGAUGAGACGAGAGUGCAGAUUGAAAGGGCACAAUUAUGCCUUUUUAGGUGUUGCAGAAUGAUUUAGACAUCUUGCGGUCGUAGGUUGGUUUGUAGGUUGGCUUAAUUGAUAGUGAUCCUUAAACUUUGCAGUUUCAACCUAACAAUGAAAAGUUUCUCAAAGAUCCUAUAUGUGUUAAUUACCAAGUAUCCUCUAACUGCACCUAUCCAUUUGGGCAAAGAGCAGACUACAAGUUGUGGAGAUUCAGGAUUUGCUGGUUUCUU